rnacentral:rRNA from 1 species
CCUACGGGUGGCAGCAGUGGGGAAUAUUGGACAAUGGGCGAAAGCCUGAUCCAGCCAUGCCGCGUGUGUGAAGAAGGCCUUCGGGUUGUAAAGCACUUUCAGUGGGGAAGAAAGCCUUGGGGCUAAUACCCUCGAGGAGGGACAUCACCCACAGAAGAAGCACCGGCUAACUCCGUGCCAGCAGCCGCGGUAAGACGGAGGGUGCGAGCGUUAAUCGGAAUUACUGGGCGUAAAGCGCGCGUAGGCGGUCUGAUAAGCCGGUUGUGAAAGCCCCGGGCUCAACCUGGGAACGGCAUCCGGAACUGUCAGGCUAGAGUGCAGGAGAGGAAGGUAGAAUUCCCGGUGUAGCGGUGAAAUGCGUAGAGAUCGGGAGGAAUACCAGUGGCGAAGGCGGCCUUCUGGACUGACACUGACGCUGAGGUGCGAAAGCGUGGGUAGCAAACAGGAUUAGAUACCCCUGUAGUC